AUUGAACGCUGGCGGCAGGCCUAACACAUGCAAGUCGAGCGAGCGGCGGACGGGUGAGUAAUGUCUGGGAAACUGCCUGAUGGAGGGGGCUAACUACUGGAAACGGUAGCUAAUACCGCAUACCCUCAGAUGUGCCCAGAUGGGAUUAGCUAGGAGGUGGGGUAACGGCUCACCUAGGCGACGAUCCCUAGCUGGUCUGAGAGGAUGACCAGCCGCACGGGAACGGAGACACGGCCGAGACUCUUACGGGAGGCAGCAGUGGGGAAUAUUGCACAAUGGGCGCAAGCCUGAUGCAGCCAUGCGGCGUGUGUGAAGAAGGCCUGCGGGUUGGAAAGCACUUUCAGCGGGGAGGCGUUACCCGCAGAAGAAGCACCGGCUAACUCCGUGCCAGCCGCCGCGGUAAUAC
rnacentral:rRNA from 1 species